AUACAGCGUUCGAGGCGAUCGAGAUGAAACGAGAUCGCUGCUUCGUGUGGCAACAUACACAUUACUUUUCCUCGCGAAAUCAUCUGGUAAGUGUAAUCAUUCUGAUGACAAAUCAUUUUCUUUCAAGUGGUUAAGGGCGGCAUGCAUCAAUCUUUCUAUUUCUUGACUGUGAAUUAACUACUGACACGAACCGAUAAUAUAUUUAUCAUGAUAUAAUGAUUUCGUUAAUUCUGCAAUAUUGAUCAAUACAAAAUCAAUAUUCAGUUACACGUCCCUUCACUACAAAUGGUACAUUCGGCUAUUUACAAUUGUGUGUGUAUCUACCGGUGCACUCGUCGAUCAAAUGCCACGCGCCAUGGUUUUUCACUUUUAUCAUUCGCUUCGCACGCGCACCGUACAUCUUCGAGCAUUUUUGGAAGUUUUCCAUUUUGUUUUUUGUUUGACAAAUACGUAUUUCGACCUCAACACCGAUCUUCGUUGUGAUGAACCAGGGCAAGGGAAGCAAAACCCUUGGGACGAUACUUAAGAUCCAGAAAACCCGGAAGUGGGUAAACCCGAAACGGUGGUAAAGCUGCUGAACCUGGGAUCGGUCGUUUUGUUCAGUAGGAACAAAAGAACCGACCAUUGCGUGCCCGUGCAAAUCUAUGGCAGAAGAACCGGUUCGAUGGUACUUUUCGACGACAGAGCUCUGCCGAUCCAUGAUAGACGGACACUUUGUUUUGACAGAAUGUCUCUUUCGGAAACGAGUAAACAGAGCAAUCACAAGCCCUCCUUUUCCGUGCACCAACCGUGCCCCACUAGGAAUCACAAUUCGUUUGAUUGGCCUGAUUUCAUCGAGGAUAACGAUCGAUCACCAUGACUACAAAGCAGUCGGAUCUGCGGCCACUCUAUCCCAGCAGAUCCACGUAUAUUUCUCGGAAUAGCCUUGUCCUUAAAGCGGGCAAUUCAUAAAAUGUUUAUGUAGUAUAAAUUACGAUUAUAAAACAUAAAAAUAUGUGUAUUUAAAUUUCAGAAA